rnacentral:rRNA from 1 species
UUGGAGGGCAAGUCUGGUGCCCGCAGCCGCGGUAAUUCCAGCUCCAAUAGCGUAUAUUAAAGUUGUUGCAGUUAAAAAGCUCGUAGUUGAAUUUCGAGAUCAAUUUGUCGGUCGUGCCUUGGUACGUACUGGCAUUAUUGAUUUCUCCCUUCUGAAGAACCGCGAUGUCAUUAAUUUGGUGUCGUGGGGAAUCAGGACUGUUACUUUGAAAAAAUUAGAGUGUUUAAAGCAGGCGCACGCUUGAAUACAUUAGCAUGGAAUAAUGAAAUAGGACGUUUGAUCCUAUUUUGUUGGUUUCUAGGAUCGACGUAAUGAUUAAUAGGGAUAGUUGGGGGCAUUAGUAUUCAAUUGUCAGAGGUGAAAUUCUUGGAUUUAUUGAAGACUAACUACUGCGAAAGCAUUUGCCAAGGAUGUUUUCAUUAAUCAAGAACGAAAGUUAGGGGAUCGAAGACGAUCAGAUACCGUCGUAGUCUUAACCAUAAACUAUGCCGACUAGGGAUCGGAUGAUGUUAAUUUUUUAAUGACUCAUUCGGCGCCUUACGGGAAACCAAAGUGUUUGGGUUC